rnacentral:rRNA from 1 species
UACGUAGGAGGCAAGCGUUGUCCGGAAUUACUGGGCGUAAAGCGCGUGUAGGUGGUGGGACAAGUCUGCUGUGAAAGCGCCUGGCUUAACCGGGCGAGGUCGGCGGAAACUGUCGCACUCGAGGACGGUAGAGGGGGGUGGAAUUCCCGGUGUAGGUGGUGAAAUGCGUAGAGAUCGGGAGGAACACCUGUGGCGAAGGCGGCCCCCUGGGCCGGCCCUGACACUGAGACGCGAAGGCGUGGGGAGCGAACGGGG